rnacentral:lncRNA from 1 species
CGCGCCCGCGUCCGGUGGGAACUGCCGGUCUACGCGGCCGGCAGAUCUGGGCGGGUGCGGACCUGGCCACGCACAACUUGUGGUUUCGAGGGAUGGGGUCGCUAAGUCUCUCAGGCUGUUCUGGACCUCGCGAUCCUCCUGCCUCAGCCUCUUGAGUAGCCGCUCAGGCCUGCCCUUGUCUGUCUGCUCUCCCAGCCGCGGGGAGUCGGCGGUCCUGGCAGCACGAGCCCCUCCUGCCCUCACCGGCCCCAGUGAUUCUGAGAGGCCCACCCGCCCUCUCCUCAGCCUUCCUGGAUACAGUGCCUGGUGACAAGGACGUGCUCGGGCCCACCGGGAAUCGGGGAACCAGGCGCGACGCGGCGCCUGGCAUCCAGGGCAUUUGGGGUGCAACCUGUUCCAGGCAGGCAUCUCUUGUACUCUUCAGAUGAGGAACCUGGGUCUGAGAGGGGCCCUAAACCAGGGCCUCUGCGGGUCAGGCUGGAGCUCUGCCUCCCCCCACACCCAGCCCCGACGCCCAGCUCCUUAAGCCUGGGCACAGUGGACUGGCUUAGAUGGCAUGGCCAGGCCGGGCACUCUGUCAGAGCUCAUUCCAGCGGGGGUUCUGUGCAGGGGGCAGGGGUUGCCACGCUUUCUGCUGGGCGAGGUCUGCCCUGACCAGCUGUGACCCCACCGCAGGCCACUGGGGAUGCUGUUCCGCCCACACUCUGGCUGCACCCUGGAGAGCAGCUAUUUUUACUGAUCAUCUCUCCCAAAGUGGGCAUGGAAAAGUGGGAAACCAGUGGGACCUUCCCCAGGUGCGGCCUGUUUCCCUGGCACCUGCCCUCCUCUGCACCCUAACCACGGGCCUUCAUCCCCGAGCUCUUCUGGCUCCACCUCUGCGAUCAGAACUGAGCCCGGAGAACCCGGGCCAGAGAGGGGCUGGUCCAGCCCUGGCGUGGCUGCUGUCUGGGUGCAGCUGGGCUCCAGGCCCUGGGACUCCCCAC